ACCUUUGUAGCACAGUUGGUUAGGGCGCUGCACCGGAAUCGCAGGGCCGUAGGUUCAAUUCCUACCAGAGAAC